rnacentral:rRNA from 1 species
GACGAACGCUGGCGGCGUGCUUAACACAUGCAAGUCGAACGGAAAGGCCCUGCUUUUGUGGGGUGCUCGAGUGGCGAACGGGUGAGUAACACGUGAGUAACCUGCCCUUGACUUUGGGAUAACUUCAGGAAACUGGGGCUAAUACCGGAUAGGAGCUCCUGCUGCAUGGUGGGGGUUGGAAAGUUUCGGCGGUUGGGGAUGGACUCGCGGCUUAUCAGAUUGUUGGUGGGGUAGUGGCUUACCAAGGCUUUGACGGGUAGCCGGCCUGAGAGGGUGACCGGCCACAUUGGGACUGAGAUACGGCCCAGACUCCUACGGGAGGCAGCAGUGGAGAAUAUUGCACAAUGGGCGGAAGCCUGAUGCAGCAACGCCGCGUGCGGGAUGACGGCCUUCGGGUUGUAAACCGCUUUCGCCUGUGACGAAGCGUGAGUGACGGUAAUGGGUAAAGAAGCACCGGCUAACUACGUG